UAGAUUGAAGCCCCUGGUUUGGGUUUCUUAGUUGUUAACUAAGUAUUUAUGGGAUCAAGCCCCGUCGAUCUAG
rnacentral:tRNA from 1 species